rnacentral:rRNA from 1 species
UACGUAGGGCGCAAGCGUUGUCCGGAAUUAUUGGGCGUAAAGAGCUCGUAGGCGGUCUGUCGCGUCUGUUGUGAAAACUCGAGGCUCAACCUCGGGCUUGCAGUGGAUACGGGCAGACUAGAGUGCGGUAGGGGAGACUGGAAUUCCUGGUGUAGCGGUGGAAUGCGCAGAUAUCAGGAGGAACACCGAUGGCGAAGGCAGGUCUCUGGGCCGACACUGACGCUGAGACGCGAAAGCGUGGGGAGCGAACAGG